GUACUUUCUGUAGCUUCCAGAAAGAACAAGUGGAUUGAAAUUGAAUAUUUCCUAUUAAGAUUGCAAACUGCCUCACUUAGUCAAUUUUACUUGCUAUUGCAACUCUCCUUUGUAUCUUUCUGGUACUAAAGAAUGGGGGGACACUAAUCGUAAGAGAAAUAAAUCAAAACCACAAUGGUGAAUAAAUGAAGAGUAGCUGUUAUAUUUCUUAUCACUUCAUUCAGAGCUUCUGCAAAUCUUAAAAACCGGAGAAGAGAAAAUAUCCGCUGUGUUUAGAAGAAGGAAAUUGGCGUUCACUUGUUGCCUCUGGCGUUUUCUGCA
rnacentral:misc_RNA from 1 species